UCUCCAAAGCUGCUCUUGUCUCCUUGGGUAUGAGGGGGAGAGGUGUGAAAUAAACCCAGAUGACUGUGAGGAUAAUGACUGCGAGAAUAACUCUACGUGUGUGGAUGGGAUCAACAACUAUGUUUGUCUCUGCCCUCCUAAUUACACAGGUGAACUGUGUGAUGAGGUGAUCAACCACUGUGUUCCUGACCUAAACCCCUGCCAGCAUGAGUCCAAAUGUGUUCCCCUUGACAAAGGAACCAGAUGCGAGUGCCUGCCGGGUUACAGCGGCAAGCACUGCGAGAUCGAUGAUGAUGACUGCGUGGGCCACAAGUGUCGUCACGGAGCCGUGUGUGUGGAUGCUGUCAAUGGCUACACCUGUGUCUGUCCCCAGGGCUUCAGGUACGAGGGAGGCAGCUCCUCCCUGGA